AAAUUUCGUCUAAAUGUCAGUACAUGAAAAACAUUUUCCAAAACAAGUUCAAAACCAAACCCUAAAUACAAGCUAAUGAUUCUUACAUAACCGACAUCUACUUCGACAGUGUUUUCAACUCCAAGCUUGGCCUCUGUCUCACUUGGUUUCUGUUUGCUUUUGAAUCCCUGUAAAGUAACAACAACAUGACCAGUUGCACUACUAUCAAGCUACCACGAAUUUGGUGGUGCACUAACAAAAUAAGAUUCAAAACAAACUAGGGCCAAUGACUUACCUUCUUGUUUAUUCUUUUUCUCUAACUAAGACUUAUAUUUAGGGCAUUUAGUUUUCAUGUGACCAUUUUUCUUGUAAGAAAAAUAUCUCACAUCUUUCUUUAUGAUAGCUUUAAGAUCUCUUACCCUUUCAAUUUGACCAUUACCCUAUCUUUUAUUAUCCUGAACCUAUUUAAAAACAUUUGACACAAACUCUCUAAGUUUCUUAAAAUUCUUCUGGAAGUAAGGUUUAGGAUUGGUGGUAAGCAAGGCACUCUCACUCUUUUCUUUCUUGAGUUUUUCUUCCUCAGAGAUGCACUUGGAGAUAAAGUCAUUGACACUCCAAACCUCAUUCAAAACAUUAUAGGUAGUCUUGAUUUAGGUAAAUUCAAUGGGUAAAGAAUUAAAUGCAUGAUGGACAAUGAAUUUGUUAUGAAAGGUGAUCUCAUGGGAAGCCAAUUUGAUUUGAAUGUGGACCAUUUUCAUGAUAAAAUCCCUAACCCCUCAAAUACUAUCAGCGUUCAUACUUUAAGCUCACUCAUAAGAUUCCCAGCCUCAGACUUAUUAGAUUUUUGGUAUCUUUCACCUACAGCUUCAUAAAUGUCCUUAGCAAUUUCAAUUGUUUGCAACCCACUCAAUAGAUGCUCAAAAACAGUUUUUUUAAUGGCAUGCAGACAUAUGUGAUUCGCUUUAUCUCAUUUAGCAAAGAACUCUUUUUGUUUAGUGGUGCUCUCAUCAAUAAAGGCAUCAGACAUAUCAACACAUAAGGCUAUGUCUAUUUCAUUCAUGACCAAGGCAAAAGGCAAAUCUUCAUUCCAUAUCUUAUAGUUAGACCUGUUAAAAAUUUCAAUAGUAGCUUGAUUAUUGUUCAUAAUAAAAGUCAAUGUUUAAGACAAGAAAUGCAAUUAUUAGUCAAUGGGCAAAAUAAUUAGCUAUAGUCCAUGAUGUGCUAAAAAAUAACUGAAGAGUCUAGGAGCAUCAUCACAUACUCCCCUUUGGAUAGAGAAUAUGACAUGCUGAUAGGCACUCUCCACAUAAAAUUAAUAUGAGAAUAUCCUAGUUUUCGAAAAGCCUAUCAUCUUUGAGCAAACAGAACUUUUAGACCGAUGUAUCCUAAACCAUGAUGCUUCAUGUCUCACUCUAAAUUGCCCCAUACAAUAACCCCUUUGGAUAGGUAAUUGUAUAAAAUAAUUUAAAAACUAUCCUGUAACCUUUUGCUCAAGAAAAUAAUCUAUCAAUUUCAAUAAAUGAGCCACUUUGGCAGCCAAGCACUUACAUCAAUCAAUAAAAAAUUUCCUCAAACCAAAAAUUUACAAUUUGCCCAAAAUCCUUAAUUUGCAUACUCAACUCAAUGUAUGUAAUGGAUCAUUCCAAUUGAGAUACUAAGCUUGGGUGUAUCUCAUUUGAUUCCAAAUAGCAUAUGUUGCAUUAAAAACUUAGUGUCUUGAACUUAAAUAAUUCUCUAAAAUUAUGCAUAGAAUUACAAUCCAAGAGCACAAAAGUUUGGAGGCUAAUCUACGAAGAGAACAUAGUACCAACAAACUCUAAGCAUACCAAAAUAUCUUAUAAUGAAACAAAUUCACAGAAUGCAUGCAUAUAAAUUAGAGAAAAUAUAUGAAUAUGCAUAAAAAUGCAUAAAUAUUAAAUAAUAAUAAUUUUAAAGUCAUAUAAAAUUCUAGAAAAAUAUCCAAAAAAACAGAAAUUAAAUUCUAAGGCUACCAAAAAAAUGGGGCCAAGAUCAUACUUUUAUAGCCCCACACAUGCCACACACACCACCCUAUGCACAUGGGCUUUAUCCAAGGAUCAAUCUAAGUCUUCUCCUACCUUCUACCGGGUUGACUUGACCCUACUAAAGCAAGAUUCAACCCAUUCGGGUUUGUUUAGAAUUUUCUCUUGAUUUUUAUAGUUUUUAAGCCUGUUUUAAUGCAAUCGAAAUUACCAAAACUUAAUUAGACCUUCAUUUUACAAAACCCAUGCAUCAAAACACUCCCAAAAAUACAAAAUCAAGAUCAAUCAUCAAGAACUAGAUUUUUAGGUUCUAUGUGUUCAAACCUAAACAUCACUAUCUAAUUCUUAUCUCUACAGUACAAGUUAAGAGAAUAUAUUCAUUGUAAGCAACAAAAGCUCACUUGUUUGGAUCCUAAUUUCACACAGAAGGCUCUGAAAUGAAAUGUAAGUUUUUAAUCCCUAGAUCCAUGUAUGAAGAUUAGAACACCAAAAGUCAUAUACAUAAAUAUUAUUGUAUACCUGUUUGAUUCAUUAAGAUAGCCAUUUCUUGUUGAGGAAUACCAAAGAACUACUAGCAUAAGCUAGAUCUUCAUUUUCGAUCUUUUCCUUUUUGGUUGCUUACAAUGGGUAAAG
rnacentral:lncRNA from 1 species